rnacentral:sRNA from 1 species
CAGUGGCUCAAAGAGAAACAGCCGAGUACGAAAGAUAUAAACAAGCAGCAGUCCCCAAGACAUAUCACUAUGUGGGAACUGUAGGUGGCAGGAACAGCAGUGAAGAGGAGGCCAGGAGACGACAGGCUGAAGAAGUUAGAUUACAGAAGUAUAAUAGACUUGCAAAGCAGCAGCAGUACAAAGAAGACCUCAAGAAGAGGGAAGAGAAAGAAAUUGAGGAAAAAAGAGCAGAGGCUAGAAGAAAGGCAGAGCAAAAUGAACUGAGAGAGCAGGCUAGAGUAGCCAAUCCUGAGGAUCUAAGAAA